AAUAGAUGACGCCGUUAACUUUUUCUCACAUGUUUGACCAUUCGUCUUAUUCAAAAAUUUUAUGCAAAUGUAUAAGAUAUAAAUCACACUUAAAGUAUUAUGAGUGAUAUAACAACUCAUAACAAAAUAAAUUAUAAUUACGUAAAUUUUUUGAAUAAGACGAAUGGUCAAACAUGUGAGAAAAAGUCAACGGCGUCAUCUAUU
rnacentral:pre_miRNA from 1 species